GCAAGGUUAAAACUCAAAUGAAUUGACGGGGGCCCGCACAAGCGGUGGAGCAUGUGGUUUAAUUCGAUGCAACGCGAAGAACCUUACCUACUCUUGACAUCCAGAGAACUUAGCAGAGAUGCUUUGGUGCCUUCGGGAACUCUGAGACAGGUGCUGCAUGGCUGUCGUCAGCUCGUGUUGUGAAAUGUUGGGUUAAGUCCCGCAACGAGCGCAACCCUUAUCCUUUGUUGCCAGCGGUCCGGCCGGGAACUCAAAGGAGACUGCCAGUGAUAAACUGGAGGAAGGUGGGGAUGACGUCAAGUCAUCAUGGCCCUUACGAGUAGGGCUACACACGUGCUACAAUGGCGCAUACAAAGAGAAGCGACCUCGCGAGAGCAAGCGGACCUCAUAAAGUGCGUCGUAGUCCGGAUUGGAGUCUGCAACUCGACUCCAUGAAGUCGGAAUCGCUAGUAAUCGUGGAUCAGAAUGCCACGGUGAAUACGUUCCCGGGCCUUGUACACACCGCCCGUCACACCAUGGGAGUGGGUUGCAAAAGAAGUAGGUAGCUUAACCUUCGGGAGGGCGCUUACCACUUUGUGAUUCAUGACUGGGGUGAAGUCGUAACAAGGUAACCGUAGGGGAACCUGCGGUUGGAUCACCUCCUUA
rnacentral:rRNA from 1 species